AAUUGUAGAGAGGCUUUCUGGUUGGGAACUCUCAAAAACCGAGACUUACAGGGUGAAGAAAUUGUUUCUCAGGAUCCCUCUUCCCCAGAGAGCACUUCAGAAGACAGUGAGGAUGACAUAACAUCCCACGUCUCCAAGAGCACAGCAACAAAGGAUGGGGAAGAUGAAGCAAGUGAUGGACACAAGGACCAAGAUAAUGAUGAAAGCGAUGACAGCUCUGACUAGAUCCCAGGACACAACCGCCCUUCCUCGUCUCCGGCAGCCUCUUACCCUUUCCUCUUUGGGGUGUGAGGUCUGCUCUCUGCUUUUCAACCAAAGCUUCCCGUUUCUCUUCAAGAAGGGGUUUUUAUUUAACUAACCAGUGGAUUUCACAGAUUGUCCAAUAUCCAGGUCCUGGCUCAGGUUUCCAAUGUAGCAUCCGCCAGUGGUUUGGAUAAAUAUGGCCAUGCUGCUUCUGCAGAGUGAGUGCUCUGGCUAGCCUUUGGGGGCUAGUUUUGAUACUGACUUAUUUUAAAAUUUAGGAAAUAAAUUCUUUUCUGAGUUUUGCCCUGA